ACGGGAGGCAGCAGUGAGGAAUAUUGGUCAAUGGGCGGAAGCCUGAACCAGCCAAGUCGCGUGAAGGAUGAAGGUUCUAUGGAUUGUAAACUUCUUUUGUUCGAGGGUAAAGUGAGUCACGUGUGGCUUAUUGCAAGUAUCGAACGAAUAAGCAUCGGCUAACUCCGUGCCAGCAGCCGCGGUAAUACGGAGGAUGCGAGCGUUAUCCGGAUUUAUUGGGUUUAAAGGGAGCGUAGGCGGGUCUUUAAGUCAGUGGUCAAAGCGUGUGGCUCAACCAUACCACGCCAUUGAUACUGGAGACCUUGAGUGCACAUAAGGAUGGUGGAAUUCGUCGUGUAGCGGUGAAAUGCUUAGAUAUGACGAAGAACUCCGAUUGCGAAGGCAGCUGUCCGGGGUGUAACUGACGCUAAUGCUCGAAAGUGCGGGUAUCAAACAGGAUUAGAUACCCUGGUA
rnacentral:rRNA from 1 species